GGAGGAUUCAGCUCAACGGUGGAGUGCGUGCCUAGAAAGCACGAGGUCUGGGGUUCAAUCCCUAGUACUCCA
rnacentral:tRNA from 1 species